CUUUGCAAUUUUCAUCCUUGAGCACUGAUUUCCACAUUUUUCGUCAUUUUUUCGCAUUCACUUCUUAUCUAUAAGUAUAAUUAUUCACACAAGCAAUAUUAAUGGAAACAGCUGAGACGAGUUUUGCACAUCCUAUGUCCCCGACUGUAAUCUAAUGCGAAUAUGAUUCUCAAAAUGUUCCUAUUGCAGUUUAUUUCACGUCAUAAUUAUCUUGUCCUCCGUUCUUUAAGACAUAAAUUUCAGAAUCGCAAAGAUUAUUAAAAAUGUUGACACAUUUAUAAUAUAUUCGCGGCUAUGAAUUAUGAUAAUUCUUCAUCGAACAUACGUAAUAACCUUUUAGCAUUUAAUCCCAUGAUAGCUAAAUCAGUCAAAAAUUCGAGGAGAUUUUAUUUGUAUUCUAAAUUUAAUUUCAGCAGCAAAAUUUUAUAUUGUUUUUGCUGUUCGUAUCACAAUCAGUUCAAUAAGGAAGACAUCUGAACAAAUGGAAUUGGAAUUGUUUAAACAAUGUGGGAUAAAAUCAGUCAAAAAUGCAGGAAACGUUUCUUCAUAAUUUAAUUAAUUUAGAUUAUUGAAUCAAAUAUAAAUAAAUAUUUUUUAUGAAGAGAUACCACAAGCCAUUGAAUUAAUUCAUAUCCAUCUGCAACUUCAAUGUCACGAUAAAUUAUAAUUUUUUUCCAUCAAAAAUAUUGUUUUAAAAUACUAAGAUGAAACAAAUCAACACACUGCAUAGUUUUCCCACGUACGUGUGUCGAUCUAAAUAUUCAAAUGGAAAUUAUAUUUUUAAAAUAAAUAAACAAAUUAAAUUGUGGUGGUAGGGUAUGUAAAUCAAUUUUAUUUUUAACAAUAAGAUUUUAUACACUUAUAGAGUGUGCUGUACAACGUACAAUAAUGUAAAAUGUAUUAAAAAGUAAAAUGUACUUUAUUAGGAAUAUAUUAUACAAAGUUAAUUGAUCUCAGAACUCGAUUCAAGGACUUGUAUGUUACCAUUUUGGCAGCACAUUUUAUUCUUUAAUUUCAUGCACAGCAUCCGGUAUAUGUUUGCGCUGUUGGUACCGUACACACCGUGCUCGGCGCAAUCGAAUAUAACCAACAGUUAGUUAGUUGGUGGUGUACUUGCGAUCACUGUUUCUGCAUAUAAACACCAGGCAUCAUUGUGUAUAUUAGGCACAAUGAAGAUUAAGUGUCCAUAUGCUUUAGGAUAUAUAGGCGAAAAAAAGGGAACAUCAGACAAUGCAACAAUAAAAGUUAAAUGCUAGGCAGGAUAUUUAUGGUCAUUUAAUAUCAGUAGGUAUGUAUUGUGCGACAACUAUUUAAUACCUUUUUAUGUGAAACAAAUCUCCAUUUAAACAAAUAAUGAGAAGAUUCUUGCUUUACAUUUUGUGAAUUGGAAUCAAUAGCUGCGCUUUCAAUUGUGAAUCAUCAAAACAUUUUAAAUCGAAACGUUACAUAAAAUAAAUAAAUUUAUUGAAAGUUAAA